rnacentral:rRNA from 1 species
UACGUAGGGAGCGAGCGUUGUCCGGAUUCAUUGGGCGUAAAGAGCUCGUAGGCGGCUUGGUAAGUCGGAUGUGAAACCUCCAGGCUCAACCUGGAGUCGCCAUCCGAUACUGCUAUGGCUAGAGUCCGGUAGGGGCCCACGGAAUUCCUGGUGUAGCGGUGAAAUGCGCAGAUAUCGGGAAGAACACCCGUGGCGAAGGCGGCUCUCUGGGACGGUACUGACGCUGAGACGCGAAAGCGUGGGGAGCGAACAGG